UUUAUCGGAAUACAGAGCUGGCAGUGGGGGGAUGGGCCCCUGACAUAUUUUCAGGAUGAGGUUUUUCCAACUAUUUGCCUGAAACUGAAAAGUGAAAGCGACACUUUAAAAAAUCAGGCACCUGCUGUUGGGUCCCUUCCUUCCACGGAUGCCCUUAAGGGCAGUUCACAGCCUCAUGUGCUUUGGAGGAAGGUGGACAUGAACAUAACCCCCUCCACAUGGAGACCGGUAUCUGUCAGUGCUGGCAUGGCACGCGUAAACUCAGGAUGGCUUCAGAGCAACAGUGGUUCCCAACUUGGGACGCACUUCAGAAUUGCCUGGUUUAAAAACGCAAAUUCGACACCUCUUUGGAGAUUCUGAUUCAGCAGGACAUGACAAAUGGCCCUGUGGUUUGGCAUCAUACUUACUGGAUGCUUCAGAGCGCAGAGUUCGUACAGAAUGCAUCCCAAGGACCAGAUGUCACUAGAAGCAUAAAGAGACAGCAUUGUAACAACUAUGUUAUGCAUGAUCAUGAUGGAUGCAGAGACUCUUCAAAGCAUAAACAACAAGUCUGGAACCAGGCACAUAACCCAGACCACCCUUACAACCGCUGAACCUUCUUUUGUCAACUAGGCCCUCACAGCUGUGAUGACGAUGUUGGAAAACCAGGACUUUCCUCUGGAUUCCUGAGAAUACAGAUUCCAUGUAACUUUAAGAUCUAUUUUUUAU